rnacentral:lncRNA from 10 species
CACUGUGCCGGCUAAAGACAUCUUAUUAAAUAUAGAUUAUUGUUUUAUUAACAUUGAACGCACAGCCAACAGCACUGUAAUUCAUGCCUGAAUGAAGCUUAUCUAACACAUAUUUUCUGUGUAAGGCACAUUGCAGACUUCUUGUGCUUAGGAACAUGAGACGGCACUUCAGCACUAUGCUGGGGGGCCAUUUUAAACAGUGCAAUCGCCAACAAAAAGCACAAAAAUGCAAAAAAAAAAAAAAAAAAGAGUAGCAUUAAAUGGACCAUAAAAAGACACCUCUUCGCAGUACAAGAGCUAAAACCACAAGACAGAACAGGGACUUCAGCGGGGAGCGUGCACUUGGGGUGACUCAAGUAUUUUGCUGCUCUGGGCAUGUCCUUGAAUGACCACAAAAGCCUGUUAGUAUUGAUCUUGGCGUUGCAAGUCCAUUUCAGUGAGGAGGCGAAUUUGCAAAUAUGGAGUCCAUGAAUCACAAGGGUCCACUCUACCUCCCUGUCCCUGGGGAGAGGAGGCACUGGCACGCACCACUGAUGUGGUGGGGAACGUGGGGAGAUUUUCUGGGAGAAAUUCAGAUAGACUGGGUUUUGGAAGGGUCCAGUGGGUCCCUUGAGAGCAACCAGGUAAGGUGAGUUUGGGGGCAGCUUCCUUCCCCAGGGGACCUCAGUGUCUUGUGUGCAUGAUGCUUGGACAUCAACACUACAUCCUUUUACCUCGAAGCUGCCAAAGGGCUCCUGUGAAAACCUAAGGCACUUCAAGUCACUCCUCUGUGUAAAACUCUCCAUGGCUCCCAUCUUCCUCUGAGGUCUGACCCAAUCUCUUCCCCUAGACUCCUCUGAUCCCAUACCAAGCUAUGCUAAUUUUCUUGCUGUUGUGCCACCCACACACUAAGCCUGCUCCUCCCCAGGGCCUCUGCACAUGCUGUUCCCUCUUCCCAGAAUGCUGUACCCAGCCAUCAGUCCCCCAGCUCACUCCUUUGCUUUGUGCAGGUCUCGUUGAAAUGCCACCUGCUCAGAGCAGCUUCCCCAACCAGCUUAUCUCAGACAGCUCUCCGUCACUUCCCGCUCCUCCCGUGGCUUUGUGUUUCCUCGUAGCCAGACGCAUCACAUCAUCGCUCAUCUUUCCAUUGCCGGUUCCCUGACUAGAAUAUCCAGCUUUCAGCGUCACCAGCACAGAUUUCCCAUCAGGGCCGCCCAAGACCUGCACUUGCCCUGCCUGGAUGAUGUACAUCUCACGGCCGAUCUCCCCCUGAAACAAAGAAGUGACAAGUCCCUCUGUUCAUCCCCCAAAGUCACCAGAGAAGCAGCCAGGGCUGGAUCCAGAGGCUGGAGGUCCGGCAAGGAGGAACCUAGGCACUGGGGUCCAGCCCUGCCACCACAACUUGGGGUGUCGUGUGGGGGCAGUCACUUCCCUCUCAGGCCUCAGUCACCCCAUCUGUAGACUUGGAGGAGUGACUACCCCAUGCCCUCCAUAACUGACAGGGUUGCAGUGGGGGAGUUAGUGAUGUCAUGGAAUGGGAAGUGCCAGCUAACCUGGGAGGUGCAGGUAUAAUGGAAUUCUGCAAAUUCCAGUUAGACUCACUGAUGGAGGCAGGGCAAAUCAGAUAGCAGCUCCCACCAUCAAAUGAUGUCUACACCUGGCACAUCUCAGGGGCUCGGGAAGAAUUUGCUAACUGCAACAGGAAUGGGAACAACAAUAACGAUAAUAUUCAAAUUGCCUUUUUUUUUUUGAGAUGGAGUCUCGCUCUGUCGCCCAGGCUGGAGUGCAGUGGCAUGAUCUUAGCUCACUGCAACCUCUGCCUCCUGGGUUCAAGCAAUUCUUGUGCUUCAGCCUCCCAAACAGCUGCGAUUACAGGCAUCAUGCUUCAGCCUCCCGAGUAGCUGGGAUUACAAGCAUGUGCCACCAUGCCCGGCAAAUUUUUGUAUUUUUAGUAGAGACAGGGUUUUGCCACGUUGGCCAGGCUGGUCUCGAACUCCUGGCCUCAAGUGAUCUGCCUGCCUUAGCCUCCCAAAGUGCUGGGAUUACAGGCAUGAGCCACUGUGCCCAGCCCCAAAUUGCUUUAUGCAGUGUACUACUUAUCCUCAACAACCCUCAGAGUCGAGAUCACUCUUUGCCCAAGAGCUGGGAUCUGAACCCAGACAGUCUGGUUCCAGAGUUCAUGGUUGUUAUGGGUUGAAUUAUGUACUCCCUCCCAAAUUCAUAUAUUGAAAUCCUCAUCCCCAGCAUCUCAGAAUGUGACCUUAUUUGGGAAUAGGGUCAUUGCAGAUGUAAUUCCUAAAGAUGAGGUCCUUCUAGACCUAAUCCAAUAUGACUGGUGUCCUAACAAAAGGGAAAUGUGGACACAAAGACAGGCAUAGAGACCAGAGGAUGUGAGGAGACACAAAAAAAACUAGAUGACCACCUACAAGCUGAGGAGAGAAGCCACCCAGCUUGUGGUGGAGUUGCACAGUGUCCCGCGGCAGCCUGGAGAAUGAAUACAAUGGCCUUAAUCCCAAGUUAAACCGAAUGCAUGCAUGAAUGAAUAGCUUGCUUUGGACUGCAAUUAGAAACACCUAGUCUGCCAUGCGCCUUCCAAUCCUCAUGCCUUCACCGGCCCUUGUCCUGGCCAGCUACCUGUGAGUCACAUGUGUUUAAAAGGGGAAGAGGAGGUCUACAGAAAAAAAAAAUAAUAAUAAUAAUAAUUAAAAAGGGGGCCGGG